AGAGCUUCUCACUAUGGUCGAGGGCGCUUUGGGAAUGAAGCAUAUUCCGGAGCAGGCCACACGGCGGGGUAGAAGUCGGCACAGCAUCAGGCUUGGGGGUACGUAGUCUUGGUGGAAGAACAUCAGACUGCUCUAAGCUCGGUGGGUUUUGUUUACACCAGGCACGCUCAAAAUGAAACGAGCAAAUCUGGCUGCUCUUCAACGGAGUUCAUUCUAAGCGUCCAGUAGCGCGCGCGAACUCGGACCACUCCUGGCGCUUAUCGACGCCGACGGUAGCGAAAGAGGAAGCCAGGCGAGCUGGGGCCUAGCUCACUGGCCGUCGGAUCCGAGGCCGGCGGCCCUUGCGAUCCGUCCGCAGCUCGAAAUAAAGCACCUAUGUUCGUCAACACAAUCAACAUCUGCACAUUUAUGUCGCCCAUGAGUGACAAUACAAUUAGCUUACCCGACGCCGUUGGUGGCGAUGAGAAAACAUGCUAGGCAGGCGAACCGCUUCGCAGAGAGAAUUGCUGCGGCGGCUGCGCUGACCGCUUGCGAGCCAAGAUCACGCCAACGAUUUGCUAUUUCGCGCAACGUUUUAUAACAUGCACACUUUCGAGGUCACUUUACAACUUAUUUCGUGCCAGAAACAAAUUCUAGUCGUUCCGUGUGCCACCGUCAGCGGCGAAAAAAAAAAAAAUGCAGAGAACCCUAGCCAUGCACGGCAUCGCUGUAACCUGAGCCAUUCCACUCUGUGAAGAUCGUUGACCAGCGAAGCUGUUUAGCACACGACACGCAGGUGAGACAUAAUACUGAACAAAGGUACGAUCUCGUUUAUUGUCUUGAUGGGUGGUCAUCGUGACGAAAGGUACGCACACUUAUUUAUUGUCUUGAUCGGUGGUCAUUAUUUCACUCGCAACUGCAAUCACAUUCUUUGAUAAUGUCAAAUCGAUGCACGUACGCCGCUGGGUGGUCGGCUGGGUCGAAUCGGUGUGUUAUCGCAAGGAAUAUGUCUGCGAUACGGAACGCGUCAACCGCUCCCUUUUCGGUACUGACACAUCCACAUUGAAAUCAACGACAACAGGCGCAGUGUCACCGCAGCUAAUUCACGCAGAGCCCUCGCACGUGCAACCCCCGCAGCUUGGCAAGCGCCGGAUGUUUCUACGCCAAGGAUGCACCAAGAGCAGUUUUGACGAAGCCCAUACAUGACACCACAUUCUGUCAUGCACGUCGACCAGAACGCCGUCGCAGCGGCGUGUAACGUGUCACACAGCACGCAACUGACGUCGGAGAUCGUGUGUCCUUGGCGCAGCUGCGGUACUCAGCCUCGUGGACGACGGGCAGACCCCGGCUCAAAACUUUUCUCCAGCACGUCGUCCCCAAUCGAUCAAUGGCGCACGUCACGGGCUCGCCGCUGGCCUAACUACUGCCGGCCGCAGCAGCCGCCGGUGCUUGCGCAAUCCGGAGCGCAUACAGCGGCCCCAGCAGCAGGCGAAAUCCCGCUAUUGUGCCACGCACGCACGACGGCUUCCGCUCACGUCGGCACGGCUUCCCCGCCAUGGCUGCCUCUGAAGUCGCUUCAGGGGGCGGGCUGCUCAUACGAAAUGUUCAGCAGAACAGCGAAGACGCGGCGAGAAACUAUAAAGGCUUUGAGAUUGGCGAGACUACUCGGUUAAACCGCAGCCCGCCCCCC